GACGAACGCUGGCGGCGUGCUUAACACAUGCAAGUCGAACGCUGAAGCCCUUCGGGGUGGAUGAGUGGCGAACGGGUGAGUAACACGUGGGUAAUCUGCCCUGCACUCUGGGAUAAGCCUUGGAAACGGGGUCUAAUACCGGAUAGGACACAUCGCCGCAUGGUGUGUGUGUGGAAAGUUCCGGCGGUGCAGGUUGAGCCCGCGGCCUAUCAGCUUGUUGGUGGGGUGAUGGCCUACCAAGGCGACGACGGGUAGCCGGCCUGGGAGGGUGACCGGCCACACUGGGACUGAGACACGGCCCAGACUCCUACGGGAGGCAGCAGUGGGGAAUCUUGCGCAAUGGGCGAAAGCCUGACGCAGCAACGCCGCGUGGGGGAUGACGGCCUUCGGGUUGUAAACCUCUUUCGACCGGGACGAAGGGUUCGUUUGACGGUACCGGUAGAAGAAGCACCGGCUAACUACGUGCCAGCAGCCGCCGCGG
rnacentral:rRNA from 1 species